AAUCAACGCUGGCGGCGUGCCUCAGACAUGCAAGUCGAACGAUUAAAGCUCUCUUCGGAGAGUGCAUAAAGUGGCGCACGGGUGAGUAACACGUAAGUAAUCUACCUUUGAGUGGGGAAUAACAGUCGGAAACGGCUGCUAAUACCGCAUAAUGCAGCGGCACCGCAAGGUGACAGUUGUUAAAGGAGCAAUCCGCUUGAAGAGGAGCUUGCGGCAGAUUAGCUAGUUGGUAAGGUAAUGGCUUACCAAGGCUACGAUCUGUAACCGGUCUUAGAGGACGGUCGGUCACACUGACACUGAAUAACGGGUCAGACUCCUACGGGAGGCAGCAGUCGGGAAUUUUGGGCAAUGGGCGAAAGCCUGAUCCAGCCAUGCCGCGUGAGUGAAGAAGG
rnacentral:rRNA from 1 species